AGGCAAACAAAACAAAAACAUAAUUUCCGAAGAGAAAAUGAAAAGAGAAAACAGAGGCCCUACCUCCUUCCUCCCACUCCUUUAACUUUGUUUCUUGAGAAUCUUCGAAGGGUAUUUCCUUCUAUACCUUGAAUAGAAAAACCAUAGCUGCUUCCAUAGAUUUUUUUUUCUAGGGAAAAAGAAAACUACCUUUUCUUUGAUAUAAUCUUCUUGAAAGUUCCAUUUCACACCGAUCCUAUUUUUCUUCUCCUCUUCUUCUUCUUCUGAAAAACCCAUGUUAGAUCCCCGUAAAUUAUCUUCUUCGAAUUUCACCUUAUAUACUUCCACGAAUCUAGCCUUUUCUUAGGGUUUCUCUGUGUAAAGAGGAACCCUAUUAUUUGUUGGGUUUGAUCACUGUCUUCCCUUUUCUAUUCUCCAAAUUCGAUUUCUGCUAGGCCUUUAUACGGGGAUUCUCUCUAUAACCAUGUAUAGUGUUUAUUGGGUUUAUUCUUGCAUAAUAUGAUUUCUGGGCGAAUUUGAUCUGAAUCUUUUUUUAGUGGAAGUAGGUAUUCUGAAAUUAGGUACUUGAAUUGUUCGAAUUUUCAUGGCUUAUCAAUCAAUUCCACGUCCUGGAUCAUCAGGAUCAAGUUCGAAUUCUGGGUUUCAGUUCUUGAAUUCUCCUUUUGGUGAUACUACUUACACGAAGGUUUUUGUUGGGGGAUUAGCAUGGGAAACACAAAGCGAAACGAUGCGUAGUUAUUUCGAGCCAUUUGGAGAGAUUCUUGAAGCUGUUGUGAUCAGUGAUAAGAAUACAGGGAGGUCAAAAGGCUAUGGUUUUGUGACUUUUCGUGAUCCUGAAGCUGCAAGGCAAGCAUGCGUUGAUCCAACUCCGAUUAUUGAUGGUAGACGGGCCAAUUGCAAUUUGGCUUCGCAGGGACGCCCUCCACCUUAUGGACGUUUAAGGCCAGUAACCCCGUACUUUGGAAGUGGACAAGGUUUGCGAGGCCCUUAUGCCGGAAACCCCAACUUUCAACAACCAGUUUCCUACAGCUACCAACAAGGCUUUCCAUAUCCACCAUAUGGGUACACAGCUUAUGGACCUGAAUACGUCUAUCCACAGGGUGUCUACAGCCCUUAUAUGGGACAGCAAGUCCUUCAAAUAUACGGAGUACCUGGUAAUACAGCUGUCUACCCGUAUGGCCAGUUAAGUCAGCAUCUUCCUGGUAAUCAUGGCUAUACAGCACUUCAGGGCUAUGCAAUGCCAGGUCACCACGUAAUGCAACUUAGCACGGCCACUGUCAGUGAAGCGGCCACAACACCCACUCCUUUAGUUCAAGGAUCAUAUCCCACAGGUAUGGUGGCUCCAGUUCCAGCACAACCACAUUUUAUGAUUCCUGUCCAGUCUCCGCGGUUCGCACAAGACAGCAAUGGUUCAGAUCGACGUCAAGUCGAGGGGUAGAUCAAAAUGACAAAUCACAUGUGGAGGUAUCCUGAAAAUCCAGCAAGACUAAGAGCAGCCUGCUACUUUGAGUGGCAGACUUCAAAUCUAGCCUUGCCGAUUAUCAUCUGUGCAUUGUAGAGGUCAUAUCGUAGUAGCAUUCUCUAGAGAUACCACAAAGUUAUGUUGAGUCAUUCACUCGUAGUAGCAUUGCUCUUUCAGCCAUUUACCAUUUUCUGUAAAUCCCCCUCCGUAUAUAUCAGCACUCUGCCGAAACUGGACCCUGCCGGGAGAGACAUUAGAACUGGUCUGGUGCUCGGAUCUGGGUUUCGAGCAUCCAUUGUAGAAAUUAAAACUCAGCUGUGUGUAAAUGCUUGCACAAAACAACAGAAUCAACAUAUGAUUCUUCUCCUUUUCAAUUAUCUGAGCCCAGAAUUUGGGUUGUACAGUAGUCACUUCUUACUAGUAGUGUUUUCUGUGUGGUGUCUGGGGCAAUCUUUGUACAUAAAUUAAUGUCAGAAGCUGAUUCUGAAGCUUUUAAAGAUAAUACAGUAUAACCUUCACAACUGCGUAAUUGCUUUA